rnacentral:rRNA from 2 species
GGGUUGUGAGGUUAAGCGACUAAGCGUACACGGUGGAUGCCCUGGCAGUCAGAGGCGAUGAAGGACGUGCUAAUCUGCGAUAAGCGCCGGUAAGGUGAUAUGAACCGUUAUAACCGGCGAUUUCCGAAUGGGGAAACCCAGUGUGACUCGUCACACUAUCAUUAACUGAAUCCAUAGGUUAAUGAGGCGAACCGGGGGAACUG